rnacentral:rRNA from 1 species
GACUGCGUACCUUUUGUAUAAUGGGUCAGCGACUUAUAUUCUGUAGCAAGGUUAACCGUAUAGGGGAGCCGGAGGGAAACCGAGUCUUAAUUGGGCGUUAAGUUGCAGGGUAUAGACCCGAAACCCGGUGAUCUAGCCAUGGGCAGGUUGAAGGUUGGGUAACACUAACUGGAGGACCGAACCGACUAAUGUUGAAAAAUUAGCGGAUGACCUGUGGCUGGGGGUGAAAGGCCAAUCAAACCGGGAGAUAGCUGGUUCUCCCCGAAAGCUAUUUAGGUAGCGCCUCGUGAAUUCAUCUCCGGGGGUAGAGCACUGUUUCGGCUAGGGGGCCAUCCCGGCUUACCAACCCGAUGCAAACUGCGAAUACCGGAGAAUGUUAUCACGGGAGACACACGGCGGGUGCUAACGUCCGUCGUGAAGAGGGAAACAACCCAGACCGCCAGCUAAGGUCCCAAAGUCAUGGUUAAGUGGGAAACGAUGUGGGAAGGCCCAGACAGCCAGGAUGUUGGCUUAGAAGCAGCCAUCAUUUAAAGAAAGCGUAAUAGCUCACUGGUCGAGUCGGCCUGCGCGGAAGAUGUAACGGGGCUAAACCAUGCACCGAAGCUGCGGCAGCGAACGUAUCACCCAAGACAACUUUACGGAGUUGACGAUUGACGGAGCGAAGCGACGUCAAAGCGUUCAUUAAAGUCGAGUUGGCUUAGGGAUACGUUCGUUGGGUAGGGGAGCGUUCUGUAAGCCUGUGAAGGUGUGUCGUGAGGCAUGCUGGAGGUAUCAGAAGUGCGAAUGCUGACAUAAGUAACGAUAAAGCGGGUGAAAAGCCCGCUCGCCGGAAGACCAAGGGUUCCUGUCCAACGUUAAUCGGGGCAGGGUGAGUCGACCCCUAAGGCGAGGCCGAAAGGCGUAGUCGAUGGGAAACGGGUUAAUAUUCCCGUACUUGGUGUUACUGCGAAGGGGGGACGGAGAAGGCUAUGUUGGCCGGGCGACGGUUGUCCCGGUUUAAGCGUGUAGGUGUGUGUUCCAGGUAAAUCCGGUUCACUUUAACACUGAGGCGUGACGACGAGGCACUACGGUGCUGAAGCAACAAAUGCCCUGCUUCCAGGAAAAGCCUCUAAGCAUCAGGUAACACGAAAUCGUACCCCAAACCGACACAGGUGGUCAGGUAGAGAAUACCAAGGCGCUUGAGAGAACUCGGGUGAAGGAACUAGGCAAAAUGGUGCCGUAACUUCGGGAGAAGGCACGCUGACACGUAGGUGAAGUGAUUUACUCAUGGAGCUGAAGUCAGUCGAAGAUACCAGCUGGCUGCAACUGUUUAUUAAAAACACAGCACUGUGCAAACACGAAAGUGGACGUAUACGGUGUGACGCCUGCCCGGUGCCGGAA